UUUAUCAUUUUAAAGACCUAGUAAUAGGUAUGCUUUAGGAGGGGCUUGCGCCAUAUUAGUUAGUUGGUAGGGUAAUGGCCUACCAAGACGAUGAUGUGUAGCUGGACUGAGAGGUUGAACAGCCACAUUGGGACUGAGACACGGCCCAAACUCCUACGGGAGGCAGCAGUAGGGAAUUUUCGGCAAUGGAGGAAACUCUGACCGAGCAACGCCGCGUGAAUGACGAAGUACUUCGGUAUGUAAAGUUCUUUUAUCAAGGAAGAAAAGCAAAUGGCGAACCAUUUGUUUGCCGGUACUUGAUGAAUAAGCCCCGGCUAAUUAUGUGCCAGCAGCCGCGGUAAGACAUAAGGGGCAAGUGUUAUCCGGAAUUAUUGGGCGUAAAGGGUGCGUAGGCGGUCUAGUAAGUCAGUGGUGUAAUGGCAACGCUUAACGUUGUCCGGCUAUUGAAACUGCUAAACUUGAGUUAGAUAGAGGCGAGUGGAAUUCCAUGUGUAGCGGUAAAAUGCGUAAAUAUAUGGAGGAACACCAGAGGCGUAGGCGGCUCGCUGGGUCUUAACUGACGCUGAGGCACGAAAGCGUGGGGAGCAAACAGGAUUAGAUACCCUGGUAGUCCACGCCGUAAACGAUGAGUACUAAGUGUCGGGUUAAACCGGUACUGAAGUUAACACAUUAAGUACUCCGCCUGAGUAGUACGUACGCAAGUAUGAAACUUAAAGGAAUUGACGGGACUCCGCACAAGCGGUGGAUCAUGUUGUUUAAUUCGAAGAUACCCGAAAAACCUUACCAGGUCUUGACAUGUUUUUGCAAAAUGAUAGUAAUAUCGUGGAGGUUACCAGAAACACAGGUGGUGCAUGGUUGUCGUCAGCUCGUGUCGUGAGAUGUUAAGGUGAGUCCUAAUACGAUCGAAACCCUUAUCGUUAAUUGCCAGCACGUUAUGGUGGGGACUUUAACGAGACUGCCAAUGAUAAAUUGGAGGAAGGGGAGGAUCACGUCAA
rnacentral:rRNA from 1 species